rnacentral:rRNA from 1 species
UACGGGGGGGGUAAGCGUUGUUCGGAAUUACUGGGCGUAAAGGGCUCGUAGGCGGCCAACUAAGUCAUACGUGAAAUCCCUCAGCUUAACCUGGGAACUGCGUCGGAUACUGGAUGGCUUGAAUUCGGGAGAGGGAUGCAGAAUUCCAGGUGUAGCGGUGAAAUGCGUAGAUAUCUGGAGGAAUACCGGUGGCGAAGGCGGCAUCCUGGACCGACAUUGACGCUGAGGAGCGAAAGCUAGGGGAGCAAACGGG